ACAGUAGUACUGUCCAUAAAUCAUCAACUCCUCUUCCACCCAUUGCUAGCCACACACACCGCACCGCAGGCUGCCAGAAGCCCUGGCGGAUGCUGACCUGCCCGCACCUCUUCCUCUCCCGGUAAAUAAUCUGAUCUCAUGGCGAAGAAACACCACGCCACAAGCAGCCUUGUGAUAGGCUAUGCUUUGUGCUCGAGCUUGCUGGCAAUCAUCAACAAGUAUGCUGUCACAAAGUUCAAUUACCCUGGCGUCCUGACUACGCUACAGUACUUUACAUCUGCUGCUGGUGUUUGGGGCCUUGGAAAGCUAGGUUUUCUUUGCCAUGAUUCCUUCAACCUGGAGACUGCCAAGAAAUUCGCACCAGCUGCUGUUGUCUUCUACCUUGCAAUAUUCACCAACACAAACCUCCUCGUUCAUGCCAAUGUGGACACAUUUAUAGUUUUCAGAUCCUUGACUCCGCUUUUGGUUGCUCUUGCCGACACAUUCUUCCGGAAGCAACCAUGCCCUUCCAAGCUCACAUUCUUAUCCCUUGUAAUCAUAUUGGGAGGAGCAGUUGGCUAUGUGAUAACAGAUUCCGCCUUCAGCCUCACAGCAUACUCGUGGGCGCUUGCUUAUCUGGUGACAAUUACAACGGAGAUGGUGUACAUCAAGCAUAUUGUUACGAGUCUGGGUCUGAACACAUGGGGUUAUGUGCUGUACAAUAACCUUCUUUCGCUCAUGAUUUCCCCCAUCUUUUGGUUUUUGACAGGGGAGCACAAGUCGGUCUUCUCAGCUGUCAAAUCACGGGGUGAGAGUUGGUUCCAGCUCAACGUCUUUGUUGCGGUAGCAUUGUCAUGCAUGUUUGGAUUGCUCAUCAGCUUCUUUGGCUUCGCGGCUAGGAAAGCAAUCUCUGCCACUGCAUUCACGGUAACUGGGGUUGUGAACAAGUUCCUCACAGUGGCGAUCAAUGUGACGAUCUGGGACAAGCACGCGAGCGCAUUUGGUUUGGUUAGCCUUCUGUUCACUCUAGCUGGUGGAGUACUCUACCAGCAAUCAGUUACUGCAAAAGGACAUAUUGCAGCACCACAGCAUGAACAGGCAUCAGAACAACAUAAGAAUGAUAGUGACAGUGCCGAGUAUGAUGAGGAGAAACAUAAGUUGGUUUCAUCUGGUGAACGCCCUGUUGCAUGAAGAAUGUUAUUCUUAGCUUUAGAUCGACAGGACUACGAAGAGUAGUAAAUGACAACCAGGGUAGCUAGCUAGAACAUUAGCUGCUGCAGCCUGAUGCAUCAUCACCUGGAAGGAAGCUGGAAGACCCUGGGGACAAGGAGAUAUUGUCAUGAUGGUGGCAAGUUCACCAUGCUAUGUGAUGGCAUCAGUUGCCUCUUGUUCAGCUCUGUGGUUUAGGUGAAAAAGAGAAGUUAAAGACUUGAAGUAGGUAGCUUAAUUAGUAUUCUUCUAAAAUGCUUUUGUGACAAAUUCAUGUACAAUUGAAUUGUAAAUUGUGAUACUCCAGAUCACAACUUGUAAAUGUAGUCUCCUAACUUGCAUUUAUGUCCCCAAAUAAACUUGUUAGUUGAGUUCUUUAUUA